AAGCUCCACCGGUCACGCCACCCAUGGCACCACUCUCAGACAGCUGUCAGUACAGAAGAUUGCAUCAGGCGCUACACAGGAAGUCGUUGGGUUGGCAGAGCUUAAAAGCGGAAGUGGACGUGCAUAAACGGAACUAGGGUAUAAUCAGAAAACAAUGUCUCUGGAUUGUCCCUCAGCAGCUUUUGUUUGUGAUGCUGUAUAGCAUGUUCAAAGUUAUUUUCUGCUGGGAGAUCAAAUGGAAUGGGCCAAGCUCCUGACAUUGUUAUUUUUUAGAAUUUGAGCAUUGAUGGAUGCAACUUUUUAAAUAAUGCACUUUUAUAAUGAAAAUAAAGCUUUUAAAAUGUG